CUGGAGGUAUCAGAAGUGCGAAUGCUGACAUAAGUAACGAUAAAGCGGGUGAAAAGCCCGCUCGCCGGAAGACCAAGGGUUCCUGUCCAACGUUAAUCGGGGCAGGGUGAGUCGACCCCUAAGGCGAGGCCGAAAGGCGUAGUCGAUGGGAAACGGGUUAAUAUUCCCGUACUUGGUGUUACUGCGAAGGGGGGACGGAGAAGGCUAUGUUGGCCGGGCGACGGUUGUCCCGGUUUAAGCGUGUAGGUGUGUGUUCCAGGUAAAUCCGGUUCACUUUAACACUGAGGCGUGAUGACGAGGCACUACGGUGCUGAAGCAACAAAUGCCCUGCUUCCAGGAAAAGCCUCUAAGCAUCAGGUAACAUCAAAUCGUACCCCAAACCGACACAGGUGGUCAGGUAGAGAAUACCAAGGCGCUUGAGAGAACUCGGGUGAAGGAACUAGGCAAAAUGGUGCCGUAACUUCGGGAGAAGGCACGCUGACA
rnacentral:rRNA from 7 species